GACGAACGCUGGCGGCGUGCUUAACACAUGCAAGUCGAACGGAAAGUCCCUGCUUGUGUGUGGUGCUCGAGUGACGAACGGGGGAGUAACCCGUGAGUAACCUGCCCUGUACUUUGGGAUAACUUCAGGGAACUGGGGCUAAUACCGGAUCGGAUCUCCUGCUACAUGGUUUGGGUUGGAGAGUUUCGGCGGAUGGGGAUGGACUCGCGGCUUUUCAGCUUGUUGGUGGGGUAGUGGCUUACCAAGGCUUUGACGGGUAGCCGGCCUGAGAGGGUGACCGGCCACAUUGGGACUGAGAAGCGGGCCAGAGUGCUACGGGAGGCAGCAGUGGGGAACAUUGCACAAUGGGCCGAAGCCUGAUGCAGCAACGCCGCGUGCUGGAUGACGGCCUUCGGGGUGUAAACCGCUUUCGACUGUGACGAAGCGUGAGUGACGGUAAUGGGUAAAGAAGCAACGGCUAACUACGUG
rnacentral:rRNA from 1 species